rnacentral:rRNA from 1 species
CCUACGGGUGGCAGCAGUGAGGAAUAUUGGUCAAUGGCCGGAAGGCUGAACCAGCCAAGCCGCGUGAGGGAGGAAGGCGCAGAGCGUCGCAGACCUCUUUUGCCGGGGGACAAAAGGCCGGACUCGUCCGGUCCUGAGGGUACCCGGAGAAAAAGCAUCGGCUAACUCCGUGCCAGCAGCCGCGGUAAUACGGAGGAGGCGAGCGUUGUCCGGAUUCGUUGGGUUUAAGGGGUGCACAGGGGGGCCUUUAAGCCUGAGGUGAAAUCGCGGGGCACAACCCCGCCGGGCCGUCGGAACUGGGGGCCUUGAGUGGGGGGGGGGCAUGCGGAAUGCGCGGUGUAGCGGGGAAAUGCAUAGAUAUCGCGCAGAACCCCGAGUGCGAAGGCAGGGUGCCGUGCCGCCACUGACGCUGAGGCACGAAAGCGCGGGGAUCGAACAGGAUUAGAUACCCGAGUAGUC